AAUUAGGCAUAAUUGUCGAGUUUUGAAAAGCAAGUUGUCGCCCCUGUGAUUAUUGGUUCACACCAAGGGUUCCCAGCAAAAAUGAAGGUUGCAAACCAUUUUAUGCGAAACGAUGAAACUACUCCCUGCACCAGUUUUCCCCAAGCCUCCCGAGACAUUCUAUUUCUUCGUUUUUGUCUUUCUAAGCAAAGUAGUAAAAUUUUUAAUGAAUUUAAAUUUACCUUCAUAUUACUCCUAAAAUUUGGAAACGUUUCUUUGACCAGGUUACGCCACUGUUGCUCAAAAAUCGCUUUGUAAUAAAUUUGAAUCAAGUUUUAUAAAUAAAGUAAAAUACAUAUCGGCCCAUUCACGAAUAGGAUCUUCUUUUGCGUUAGUUUUGUUCAAAAUCGAUUCUGCUUCUCUCGAUUUUCACUUUCUAUUGCGUCUCCAUUUACACUGAAGUGCAUUUUUUUAUCAUUCUAACUAUGUUCAUCCAAUGUGUACUUUCGGUUUGUGAUAAAAUAAACUACUGACUAUCACAGAAAAUAUCGUCAAAUCCCAUUUACUUUUUCGAGGUUUUCGCACAAAGGUCUCGCCCAGGUUCUCUGAUCUCUUGGCCACAUAUAACCAGUGUGUUAUCUAUGCAUAAGCAAAUAUACAGGGUGGUCGCUAGAAAUACAGAAAAUUUGUUGAACUUUAUUUAUUUUACUUGUAUUCUGACUUUGCAACCAGAUCUAUAGUUCUACUUUGUAAAGUUUAGCCUUUGCUUUACAGAUACUUGCUACCGAACCUGUUACUGAAUUGGAGAGGAUUGUAGAUGAAGCAGUCAAGAAUGAUCCACCUCUCCCACAUGAUAAAGCUGUUAUAUUCUGCGACAUCUUGCCUCAUAUCACUGAGGAGAUGUGGCUGGCCUACAGAGUAGAACCUGAAGAUAUUGAGAUGAUUCAGAGGAAAUUGGAUUCAAUUCCAACAACGGAACUGGGUGUGAGGAUAUACGAUCAUGACGGCAAAAUUGUUUGGCUUCGUCAAAGAAGAUCUGAGCAACAACAGAAAUAAACAAACUUGAAUUGACUUUCAUGAAAUCAUCUGUUGAAGAAAGAUUUUAAUAUUCGGACGAUUUUAUUUUCCCUAAUUUUGAUUUCGAUGAGAAUGAUUUUUUGAAACUAUUUUAUUUUAAUGUGAUUUCACUGUUCAUAUUACCGCUCAUUUUGAACAGCAGGUCUGUUAUUUUAUUACAUUCAAAUAUAUCCAGUUGAAGUGAACUUAACUAUGUUGGCGUCUCAAGUCUCGGGUUCAAACCCCAAGCCCACCGCCUCACUCAGGGUCUAAUAAAUUUAAGACGUGAAAAUAUCAGUUUCUUAUGUAUCAGUGGCUUCUCGCACAGAACAGCCUUGUUUGGGAUGAAACUGUGAAACGUCUUAUGAAAUAGAUUCACGAGAACAGGAAAAAGAAAAUCCUUCGACCAUGGUGAGGUGGCGGGAAUGGGGUUUGAACCCGAGAUUUUCACAACCACUUUUUUUUUCGUGACCAUUUCUGAUUUAUUCACAACUUUAUCUUUAUUCAGUCUCACAUUAUACAGUUGUUUCAGCAUGCUUUAUAUUAUAUAACUUACGUAAUCUCGUAUUUCACAUAAACGCUCAAUUUUUCUGAACAAAGCUCUGAACACGCAGUUUACGCAUAGAGCCACUAUUACGAGCAAGAAAUUUGAACACUAGAUUUAUAAGCCUGGAUCUGUACUAUCCUAAAGUUAUACCAAACCUUUCCAUACUGAUAUCGAUAUGUCAGCAUAGCCAGACAAACUACUGGGCAAUCUUGAAUUCACGAUUUCUAAAGCAACUACAGGUUAUGAUUGUAUAUAGAAACGUUGCAUGAUUCGUAGUCUAUAAGUGCAACAAUUUUAUUGUUCUUUGGUCAUAAAUUCAUUGUCCAGCUUUAAAUAAAUUCUAUAUAAUCAAUGUCAUUUCGCAUAUCGGAUUUUCAAUAUUUAGCGACAAGGACAUGGGUUUUGUGGGUUUCCUAAGGGGUUAACCAUACCUACCUAUACCCGAGUCCCAACGAUUUGCGACAAGACUAUUAAGUCCUCGUAUUUUUUUGUUUAGGGAUUUUUCGGUUUUAUUUGACAAUUUGUUUUUACUUUGUAUGUAUUCAUGGGAUAAUUUCUGUAUGUCAAAUAUCUCCUAUACCCGAGCCUAAAUUUCAAUGCUUGACGUCAGAGUUUGUAAUAUUUUCUGCCGGUAGUGAAGCCGGAGUCGACUUGUUUGUAAUCACAAGUUUAAAAUUUAUCAGCCCCAAAUUAUGUGAACUAUAUUGUAAAAAUAGUCUCUUUAAAAAUAAACUUCAUCAUAAACAAGCAAAAAGCUAUAUUAACCUGAAGUUUUUCUGGAUCUAAAUUUUGUUAUUCUUGAGUUAGAAGCCGCAUUCGGAUUUUUUUGCAAACCAGUUGGAACAUUUCACCGAUUCCACGGCAGUAGUCAUUUGAUUCUAUUUUAUGAUUAUGUGUGUCAAGAAAUUAUUAAUCAGAAUA